rnacentral:rRNA from 1 species
AUUGAACGCUGGCGGCAGGCCUAACACAUGCGAGUCGAGCGCGAAAGUUCUUCGGAAUGAGUAAAGCGGCGGACGGGUGAGUAAUACAUGGGAAUCUGCCUGGUAGUGGGGGACAACGUUUCGAAAGGAACGCUAAUACCGCAUACGCCCUACGGGGGAAAGGGGGGGAUCUUCGGACCUCUCGCUAUCAGAUGAGCCCA